rnacentral:rRNA from 1 species
UACGAAGGGGGCUAGCGUUGCUCGGAAUCACUGGGCGUAAAGCGCACGUAGGCGGAUUGUUAAGUCAGGGGUGAAAUCCUGGAGCUCAACUCCAGAACUGCCUUUGAUACUGGCGAUCUUGAGUCCGGGAGAGGUGAGUGGAACUGCGAGUGUAGAGGUGAAAUUCGUAGAUAUUCGCAAGAACACCAGUGGCGAAGGCGGCUCACUGGCCCGGUACUGACGCUGAGGUGCGAAAGCGUGG